CAGGCUGAUCUCCCCCAAGAGUUCACAUCGACGGGGAGGUUUGGCACCUCGAUGUCGGCUCAUCGCAUCCUGGGGCCGGAGUAGGUCCCAAGGGUUGGGCUGUUCGCCCAUUAAAGCGAUACGCGAGCUGGGUUCAGAACGUCGUGAGACAGUUCGGUCCCUAUCUGUCGUGGGCGUUGGAAAUUUGAGAGGAGCUGCUCUUAGUACGAGAGGACCGGAGUGGACAUACCGCUGGUGUACCAGUUGGCCUGCCAGGGCCACAGCUGGGUAGCUAUGUAUGGAAGGGAUAAACGCUGAAAGCAUCUAAGCGUGAAGCCCCCCUCAAGAUGAGAUUUCCCUUCGAAAGAAAUAAGAUCCCUUGUAGAUGACGAGGUUGAUAGGUCAGGUGUGUAAGUAUGGCGACAUAUUGAGCUGACUGAUACUAAUAGAUCGAAGACUUAACCUUAAAA
rnacentral:rRNA from 1 species